rnacentral:rRNA from 1 species
GGUCACAGGUGUAAAGGCAGUAAUGUCAUAGCCGAGUGAUACUAAUUACCCGUAGGCCUAUCGU